rnacentral:rRNA from 1 species
UGAGGAAUCUUCCACAAUGGACGAAAGUCUGAUGGAGCGACACCGCGUGAAGGAUGAAGGUCUAACGAUUGUAAACUUCUUUUCUGAGGGAGCAAAAUGAGAGUACCUCAGGAAUAAGGGACGGCUAAUUACGUGCCAGCAGCCGCGGUAAUACGUAAGUCCCAAGCGUUACCCGGAAUUAUUGGGUGUAAAGGGUCCGUAGGUGGACUUGCAAGUCAGGUAUGAAAGACCGGAGCUCAACUCCGAGUUUGUACCCGAAACUGCAAGUCUAGAAUCAGGGAGAGGUUAGCGGAAUUCUUAGUGUAGGGGUGCAAUCCGUAGAUACUAAGAAGAACACCAAAAGCGAAGGC